rnacentral:pre_miRNA from 1 species
GUAGUAUUCCCUCCGUCCCAAAAUUCUUGUCUUACAUUUGUUUAGAUACGGAUGUAUCUAACACUAAAAUGUAACUAGAUACAUCCGUAUUUAGACAAAUUUAAGACAAGAAUUUUGGGACGGAGGGAGUACACA